GUGUCAGCAGCCGCGGUAAGACAGAGGGUGCAAACGUUGUUCGGAAUUACUGGGCGUAAAGCGCGUGUAGGCGGCGACGCAAGUCGGAUGUGAAAGCCCAUGGCUCAACCAUGGAAGUGCACCCGAAACUGCGUCGCUAGAGUCUCGGAGAGGAAGGUGGAAUGCUUGGUGUAGAGGUGAAAUUCGUAGAUAUCAAGCGGAACACCGGUGGCGAAGGCGGCCUUCUGGACGAGUACUGACGCUGAGACGCGAAAGCGUGGGUAGCAAACAGGAUUAGAUACCCUCGUAGUCC
rnacentral:rRNA from 1 species